rnacentral:rRNA from 1 species
AUCGAAUCUUUGAACGCACAUUGCGCCCCUUGGUAUUCCGAGGGGCAUGCCUGUUCGAGCGUCAUUUCACCAAUCAAGCCCCGCUUGGUAUUGGGCGUGUGGCCGGCCCCCCGUGGCCGGCCCGCCCGAAAUGCAUCGGCGAGGCACCGACCC